GACGAACGCUGGCGGCGUGCUUAACACAUGCAAGUCGAACGGAAAGGCCCUGCUUUUGUGGGGUGCUCGAGUGGCGAACGGGUGAGUAACACGUGAGUAACCUGCCCUUGACUUUGGGAUAACUUCAGGAAACUGGGGCUAAUACCGGAUAGGAGCUCCUGCUGCAUGGGGGGGGUUGGAAAGUUUCGGCGGUUGGGGAUGGACUCGCGGCUUAUCAGCUUGUUGGUGGGGUAGUGGCUUACCAAGGCUUUGACGGGUAGCCGGCCUGAGAGGGUGACCGGCCACAUUGGGACUGAGGUACGGCCCAGACUCCUACGGGAGGCAGCAGUGGGGAAUAUUGCACAAUGGGCGGAAGCCUGAUGCAGCGGCGCCGCGUGCGGGAUGACGGCCUUCGGGUUGUAAACCGCUUUCGCCUGUGACGAAGCGUGAGUGACGGUAAUGGGUAAAGAAGCACCGGCUAACUACGUG
rnacentral:rRNA from 1 species